GCCUUCGUGGUGUAAUGGUCAGCACACUCGGCGCGUAUUCGAGAGGUCCAGGGUUCGAGUCCCGGCGAGGGCA
rnacentral:tRNA from 1 species